rnacentral:lncRNA from 1 species
CUUUAGCUUUUCUUACUUUUUGAAGCAAUGUUUCUUUUCCACUUUAUUCAUGUAGUUUUAUGUGAAAUCUCAGCUAUGCAUCAUGGGUACAAAAACUAGAGAUCACUUGCUGGCACCGUGCUGUCCUGAGAAUGAUACAUGCUUUCCAUCAGAACUCAUGUAGGUGACAGAAGAAUUGAGCUCAUAACAUUGGGAUUUACACUUUGUAGAAAAGAACAUCCUAUUCUGAGCAUCACCAUUCAGAUUUUGGUUUCUGAUGCUCAAAUAUGUAUUUCUUCACCUGUUUCUAGUGAAGGAAUCUUAUGACUACAAAUCCCACUUAGGGUACAACCUUACUUAAAGUCAAAUUAUCAUCAAAUGCUACAAUUAAAAAUAGUUCUGCUUAAGUCCAAAUAAUUGCACAUUAAUAUAUACAUAUAUAUUAAGGAUUUAAGAAAAUGUAUUGUGGAGAUAUGGAGAUAAUGUGGAGAUAAUUUUUUUUCUUUUCUUUUCUUUUUUCAAUCAAUAUUUGUUGACCAUGAAAAGACUUCUGAAGAGUUGCUCUCAUAACCAAACAACACAACCUUCAAUAUUUAAGAGCCAUAAAUUUAUACUGGGAAGCAAAGGGGUGGGAUGUUUUUGUCAUCCAUCUCCACGUGCCCGAGGAAGAAAUGCAUGAAGUCCUUCUACACAAAACAGGGACUCCACAGAGUGGUAAGCACAUAAGGGAAAAACCACCAGAUGAUGGGUGGAAGGUUUUAACAUCACUGUUUAUCUGCACUAUGUCAAUGCAGAUUGCACCAGGAAUGUUCUCAAGUCAACCCCCCACUGAGGCCACCGGCAGAGAUUUUAUUCACAUUUGUACAUUCUGAAAUGGUCCUCAGACCGGUACCAUUGCCAUGGUCCAUCAGGAAUCACAUCACCUAAUUCACGUCAGCAAGUCUCCUGGCCCACCUGCACCUCUGACAGCAGAAAAUGGAGUGGAAGUAUUUUAUUUUUUUUUCUGGAGUAAUUUCCUUGUAAUUAAAUUACAUGUUAAAGACAGGCUUUCACUACCUCGUGUUACAACAUGGGAGCUUGCAGGUUUCCAGCGAUAAGCAGGCUGUAGUCAAUUAGAAAACCUCAGGGUUUUAAGAGUCUGUUCACUAAAAUAUGUUAUAGUUCAAGUCGUUGUGUAACAACCCACAUCUCUUACAGCUGUGAAACGCUCCCAUCAUCAAGUAGGUCUCUGGGACUCCCUCAGGAAUGGCAGACUCUAGAUAUCCAGCUGCUAGGAACAAAAAUAAAUCUCUUUGAAGACUUAUUUGCUGUCA